AAACAUUUAAUUGUGAUAGUGUUACACACAGUGAAAAACAAAAGUGAUUAAAAAGGGAACUGAUUGCUUUCAAAGAUGUACAUAAGGUAGUGAAAACACUAGAUAUGUAAUAGAUUGUAUCAUGAAAUGAUUGUAACCAAAAGUUAUCCACCUGGCUGUUUUAUACAAAAACAGUGUUGCCAGGUUAAACAGUGUCACUUCAUGGUAUCUGUUUCCUUAUGAAUUCUAGGCUAUAUUAGGUGCACAGUAGAUAUAAUAAAUAGUAAACGAGAGCACUUAACCAGUUGUAAGCCAGAUUAUUAAUCCAUAAGUACUACAUGAC